GUAAACCUUUAACAUCUCGUCGACGGUCGUGUUAAGGUUGCCUCCUCCUCCUCCAUCGAUAGAAGAUGAGGUGGUACGCCGUGUCGAUUUUUCUCCUGUUGACUCUUUGUUCAGCCGAAAAUAACGAACAGGACACAGAAAUUGCCAGUUUCAGAUUAGGUACCGCCGUGUUGACUGCCUUGGGUGCCAUCUUCUUUCCCAUGAUCAUGACCUUAGGUUUGGGUAGAUUCGUCGGAGAACUUCCCAAUCAGAUAUGUAAAAUGAUGACCAACAUCGGACUCGUUCAGCCCUCGGGAUGUGGAAAAUUUCAUUUCCUGAUGAAUAAUUUCUUGAGAACGUUUCACAUGGCUAUGGAGAGGUUUGAUAAUUUAUAGAUCAGGAAACUCUACGUGGAUGCCCUUUCCGAGUCGAUUACAAUACAACGAAUUCACCUCCCGAAUAUUCUGUAAAUAAAAUA